rnacentral:misc_RNA from 1 species
AAGUCGUAACAAGGUAACCGUAGGUGAACCUGCGGUUGGAUCAUUAAAAAAUCUAGAAGGUCUUCAAGACCUCUCUAACAUUUUGUGAAUCGUUUAUACGUCUCUCUCAACCUAAACUUUGUAAUAAAAACUUUGUCUAAAGCUUAAAAAUCUUAAAUUAAAAACAACUUUUAACAACGGAUCUCUAGGCUCUC